UGAAGUUGAUGACUGUAAAGGCAUUCGGACGUCGAAGCGGAUAUGGCAAUGGCGUGGCCUUUCCUCAUUCGGGGUAUCUUACAGGUCAGAUUUAGCUAAGCGGGAGCCUCUUUAACUGCCUCUGGUCAGAGCUAUUCGAUUAUUUCAUUUUUAUGGAGUUCCAUUUAGUCUCUUCUGUUCUUAUCGUUAGGCGCCAUUCUAGUCUCUUAUUUCGCGUAAACUUCAGUGAACGAUCAGUGUUAUCUGCUCUCAGUAUAACUAGCAAUUCUAACACAGCAAAAUGUCUCACAAGGAUCAUGCGGUUUAUAUAUUUUUUUUUGUUGGACAGUGUUCCACCUCUUUCUGCUGCUUCAAUCUAAUGCAGAAAAAAUGGUUCUGUUUAAAAUUUUGGAUUUGAUUUUACAAUAUUAUAUAUUUUGCCUUUCUUUUUCCCUUAAUGGCUAUUAAGUUAUAUGUCACUCAGCGAACAGAAUGAGAGAGUAAUGAAAAUUUUGAACUCGGUUGCUCCAUCCAUAAUUUAUUAAAUGAAAUGUCCAUGGUUUAUGUAGAUUCUUAGUUUUAAGUGCUAUAUAGAUCCUUGUUGUGAGGCUUGCCGUGUGCUGUCAUGCAAAAUCAAUAUACUCUUUAUAAAAAAGGCAUCUUUGAAGUUUGGAAAGAAUCCAGGUGGAGAACUUGAUUCUAGAGUUUCCUGUAUGGAACCCAGCUUGAAUACUCAUCAAGCUUUUGCGUGAGUCCAUUUUCAGUACUAACAGUACAGGUUUGGGCUUUUUAAAACUUAGCCACACACAACAACCUCCAAAAAUGAACGGUGUCAUUGAUGGCAAGCAAGGGGAAUUAUGCGAUGAAGAUAAUGAUCUCUGUCCUGUUAAAUGUCUUAGAGAGUUUAAGACCCAUGAAAAGGUCCUUAAAAUUCUUGAAAAGGCUAGAGAAACAGAUCCUUUAGUUGUGGUAGAUUUUUUUUGAACUUCUUGUGGAAGCUCCAUGUACAUAGAGCAAGGGUUUGCAAAAUUAUACUAGGGAUCUGGUGAUGAGGAAGCUACAGUAAUCUUCUUAAAACGUAAUGUGAGUAUUUCAUUAGCUUAACUUUUCAAGAUUGCAUACAACUUAUACUUGCUUACAUUAAAAAAUGCCCAGAGUGCUAUAUGGAAAACAUGACUACUUAAGAUUGUAUGAGUGAUAAGUUAAAGAGUGCCUACUCUCCUGCAAGCUACUGAUUCUGAUCCAUGUGUUUUUAUUCGAACUUUGCAUGUCAAUUUCAUUGUUGAUAGUGAAUAGCAACCGCUUCUGCUUGAGAAUUUGAUUUGAAGUGUUGAUUUAUGGUUAUGGAGAAUAGAUCCCUAUUUAGGAAUCCUGCAGAGUGGGUCUUGCCCUGCCCUAGUCAGUUGAUAAUCAGCUGAGCUUGGAGUUCUCUUACAAAUACUAAAAAUAAGUAAUUGAUGAGUAUGAUGAACAAUCUGAAGUAGCUGAAUGACUGAGAAUAAAGCGAGCUACAAGAUGGUUUAUACUGUUGAUUUUGUUUUACAUCAAAUCACACCUGCUAAGAUAAUUGAAAAUUUGGAUUUGGAUGGAGCAGAGGGCACAAUCUUUUUAGAUACAGAUGAUGCCCCUCUUCAACUUUUACAAAAUGGAGUUUUACUGGAAGCAUUCCAAACCAGAGACAGAGAUAUCGUCACCGCCAUUAUUAAAUACUCAUCAUCUACAUGAUUAAGCUAAUCCGAUUAUAUCUUCAGAGCUGUUCUUCUGAAGUAAAGGAUCUGCUGUUGAAAUGUUAGACAGAAGAGUGAUUUUCAACUAUACCUGAAUUUGGAGACCAAAUGGUGGGUCAUCACAAGCAUCUCCAGCUUGGCAAGCUCAUUUCCAGGACAGGAAUGUACUCCACUUCCAAAUGGCAUAAAUGUGUUGGGCUUUGGCGCAACCUUCACAUACACCAUGAGGAACAAACAAAAUUUCAGGAAAAGACUUGUUUUAAAACUCACAAACACCUCAACCAUAAAACUAGUAAAAAAUCUUUCACCAAAAAUCAAGAAAAAAGAAACCCCAACAUAAACAUAUUUACCAAUUUAUACCUCAAAUCUUGAAGGAUCAAAUUUUUGAGGAUCAGUAAAAAAUUCAGGAUUGUGGUGAUUGUUCCUGAACAAAGGCAUCGCUUUCCAUCCUUUUGGAAUCAGGUACCCUGUGGCCAAUACUACCGUCAGUCAUCUCCUUAAAAUGCCAUUUUUAAGUUCCUGAAGAGGUCAUGUUUGCUUUUAAACUUUUUACACAGUUUAAUUUGAUCAUCUUACCCUUGUAUUCUACAUCAGCCACUGCUUCUCUGAAGGUGAAAGAUAUAAUGCUUGCCAUUCUCAGACUCUCUAAUAUGACCUGAAUAAGUCCAUUUUUCCCUGCUGUUAGUAACUUAGUCCAAUAAAAACAAGCUUUUCAUUAUAACUAAAUGAUUGUCUUUGCCA